rnacentral:rRNA from 1 species
GAUGAACGCUGGCGGCGUGCCUAAUACAUGCAAGUCGAGCGAACGGACGAGAAGCUUGCUUUUCUGAUGUUAGCGGCGGACGGGUGAGUAACACGUGGAUAACCUACCUAUAAGACUGGGAUAACUUCGGGAAACCGGAGCUAAUACCGGAUAAUAUUUUGAACCGCAUGGUUCAAAAGUGAAAGACGGUCUUGCUGUCACUUCUAGAUGGAUCCGCGCUGCAUUAGCUAGUUGGUAAGGUAACGGCUUACCAAGGCAACGAUGCAUAGCCGACCUGAGAGGGUGAUCGGCCACACUGGAACUGAGACACGGUCCAGACUCCUAAGGGAGGCAGCAGUAGGGAAUCUUCCGCAAAGGGCGAAAGCCUGACGGAGCAAGGCCGCGUGAGUGAUGAAGGUCUUCGGAUCGUAAAACUCUGUUAUUAGGGAAGAACAUAUGUGUAAGGAACUGUGCACAUCUUGACGGUACCUAAUCAGAAAGCCACGGCUAACUACGUG